CAAUGGCGUAUAUUUAAGUUGUUGCAGUUAAAAAGCUCGUAGUUGGAUUUCGGAUUUGGACGACCGGUCCGCCGUUUCGGUGUGCACUGGUCGGCCUUGUCUUUCUGUCGGGGACGCGCUCUCCUUAGUUGGUGACGCGGAGUCGGCGCAGUUACUUUGAAAAAAUUAGAGUGUUCAAGGCAGGCUUACGCUCUGAAUACUAUAGCAUGGAAUAACACGAUAGGACUCCGAGCCUAUUUUGUUGGUCUUCGGGACCGGAGUAAUGAUUAAGAGGGACAGUUGGGGGCAUUCGUAUUCCAAUGUCAGAGGUGAAAUUCUUGGAUUUUUGGAAGACGAACUUCUGCGAAAGCAUUUGCCAAGGAUGUUUUCAUUAA
rnacentral:rRNA from 1 species